rfam:Stegodyphus mimosarum contig114958, whole genome shotgun sequence.
GCCUUCGUGGCGUAGUGGUCAGCACGCUGGGUGCGUAUUCCAGAGAUUCGUGGUUCGAGUCCCGGCGAAGCCG